rnacentral:rRNA from 1 species
UACGUAGGUGGCAAGCGUUGUCCGGAUUUACUGGGCGUAAAGAGCGCGCAGGCGGUCGUUCAAGUCGCGUGUGAAAGCCCCCGGCUCAACCUGGGAAUUGCAUUGGAUACUGGCAGGCUAGAGUGCGGUAGAGGAUGGCGGAAUUCCCGGUGUAGCAGUGAAAUGCGUAGAGAUCGGGAGGAACAUCUGUGGCGAAGGCGGCCAUCUGGACCAGCACUGACACUGAGGCACGAAAGCGUGGGGAGCAAACAGG